AAUCAACGCUGGCGGCGCGCUUAACACAUGCAAGUCGAGCGAGAAAGUGGAGCAAUCCAUGAGUACAGCGGCGUACGGGUGAGUAACACGUGGGUCAUCUACCUUUUUAGUGGGGAAUAACCCUGGGAAACCGGGGCUAAUACCGCAUAAUCCUGUGAAGGGAAAGCAGCAAUGCGCUGAAAGAGGAGCCCGCGGCCGAUUAGCUAGUUGGUGAGGUAACGGCUCACCAAGGCGACGAUCGGUAGCCGGCCUGAGAGGGCACACGGCCACACUGGCACUGAAACACGGGCCAGACUCCUACGGGAGGCAGCAGUGGGGAAUCUUGCACAAUGGAGGCAACUCUGAUGCAGCGACGCCGCGUGAGCGAUGAAGCCCCUCGGGGUGUAAAGCUCUUUCGGCAGGGACGAUAAUGACGGUACCUGAAGAAGAAGCUGCGGCUAACUACGUGCC
rnacentral:rRNA from 1 species